rnacentral:rRNA from 1 species
GUCUACGGCCAUACCACCCUGAACGCACCUAAUCUCGUCUGAUCUUAGAAGCUAAGCAGGGUUGGGCCCUGGUUAGUACUUGGAUGGGAGAAAUGAUUAGUCUUCCUGGUGGAAACCAAAGUGUAAACA